rnacentral:rRNA from 1 species
UACGGGGGGGGCAAGCGUUGUUCGGAAUUACUGGGCGUAAAGGGCGCGUAGGCGGUUCGCUAAGUUGGAUGUGAAAACUCUGGGCUCAACCCAGAGCCUGCAUCCAAAACUGGCGGGCUAGAGUUCUGGAGGGGGUAGCGGAAUUCCUGGUGUAGCGGUGAAAUGCGUAGAUAUCAGGAGGAACACCGGUGGCGAAGGCGGCAUCCUGGACCGGUAUUGACACUGAGGCGCGAAAGCCAGGGGAGCAAACGGG